AGAGUUUGAUCCUGGCUCAGAUUGAACGCUGGCGGUAUGCUUUACACAUGCAAGUCGAACGGAUUUGGGGGCUUGCUCCCAAGUUAGUGGCGAACGGGUGAGUAAUAUAUCGGAACAUAUCCGGAAGUGGGGGAUAACGUAGCGAAAGUUACGCUAAUACCGCAUAUGCCCUGAGGGGGAAAGGGGGGGAUCGCAAGACCUCUCGCUUUCGGAGUGGCCGAUAUCGGAUUAGCUAGAUGGUGAGGUAAUGGCUCACCAUGGCGACGAUCCGUAGCUGGUCUGAGAGGACGACCAGCCACACUGGAACUGAGACACGGUCCAGACUCCUACGGGAGGCAGCAGUGGGGAAUUUUGGACAAUGGGCGAAAGCCUGAUCCAGCCAUACCGCGUGAGUGAAGAAGGCCUUCGGGUUGUAAAGCUCUUUCAGCCGGAAAGAAAUCGCAUUCCUUAAUACGGGGUGUGGAUGACGGUACCGGAAGAAGAAGCACCGGCUAACUACGUGCCAGCCGCCGCGGU
rnacentral:rRNA from 1 species